GCAGUCGAGCGGAACAAAUUGUCUCUUGCUUCUCUGAUCAAUAGCGGCGUCCAGCGGCGUACGGCUGGGUAAUGCCCCUUAAGUUGCCCUGAUGUGGGGGAAAACCAUUGCAAACAAUGGCUGAUACCUCCUGAUGCCUACGGGCCACCUUCGGGGACCUUCCGGCCUCACUCGUCCAGAUGUGCCUAGGUGGGAUUAGAUGUUUGGUGACGUAAGGGCUCCCAUCCGCAACUAUCCCUAGAUGAUCUGAGAGGAUGAUCAGCCUCACUGGAACUGAAAACUCCUCCAGACUCCUACAGUGGGCAAUAUUGGGGAAUGUUGCCCAGCGUGAUCCAGCCUGAUGCCGCGUUGCCACAUGGCCUACGAAUGCCUUCGGGUUUUCAAUCACUUUCAAUCGUGAGGAAUUAAUAACUGUUAAUAGCGACGUUAUUUGACGUUAAAGACCCAGCUAACUCCGUGCCACUCC
rnacentral:rRNA from 1 species